AGUUCGCUGCAAAUUAGGGCGCUAGGCGCCGUGUUUCAUUAACGCCUAUUUGAGGCCUAGUGAGUGUAUAACGAACGGCGCAAACUAAUCGUUCGCCGGUUCGUAACAGACGGGAAAAACUGUGUACGCGGAAUAGAAACACGCGCGGCAGUAGGAAAAACAGGACAAAAUCUCACCCGGUAAACUAAACGCUGUGGGUUGGCUCGAUCACUUUCCGUCGGAUCACAGGAGUGGAAAUCAGUCCCGAAAAAGGCAAUAAAACCAAGAUCGUAUGCAAGCUCAUGCACGGUCACGGCAACGCGGGUAGAAUCGACGAGGUCCACGCUACUAGGAUAAAAAGCACCCCAUCGGGGUGUUUUUGCCGAGCCAGUCCACGGUCAGGUUGCACGAUUUAAUCAUUCCUACCGGACGAGUAGAGGGCCGUCGGAUUAUUUCGUCUAAGCUGUCAGAUUUUUCCUACCGGACGGGUAGACGGCAAGUACCGGCACAAAGAGCGGGUGGUCGGAAGGGACCAGAAACAGCCCAGCCGGUUGAGAGCAUCCUCUUCGAGGACGGGGGAGAUCCAGUGACUCGGAGGGACCCCAUCCAGUAGUUGGUCGCACUGGACGGCCAGAGGGGUCUCCAGCAGAGCACUUUCGAGGCGAGCUGAGGGAAAAAUGCGUGCGUGGUGCGGCGGCAGACGUCCGUCCGUAAUGAGAAGGUAGUGCCGGGGGACGCCGUGAGGGUACCGUGAGUACCGAGAAGUACUCUGCCGUGAAUCGCAUAUUUGUCCCAUAUGAAUAGGAAACCCAGCAAAGAUGGGACAGAUAUGCGAUUCACGGCAGUACUGUAAGUAGAAAACUGUUAGAUUGUAAGAGAUGAGGAAAGAAAAGGGAAAGUAGAGAGAAUGUAGGAGGAAGAAAGGAAAGGUUGGAAG